AAGAAUGAAAAGCAAAUACAAUUCUCGACGUGGCCAACAAACAAGAAUGCCAGGGAUGGCCACAUCCUUGGGGAAUGAAGAGAAAUGUCGCCUGAGUCAAAGCUGGAGGGAACGGGAUUCCACUCAGGAGGCCAAGGGGGACAUUCCUGCCGUGCCCAGGACAAGGCGGGGAAGCAGGUCCCGGGGAGAGAGCCCUGGCUAGCUGAGGACAUGCAGGCAGGACUCCCACCAAAUCAUACACAUCUUUAAAAAACCUGUAUUUAAGGAAACAUCUGAGCCAUGGCCUGCAUUCCUCCCAGCAGCCCUUGGAGGCCAUGUCCAUGGAGGGGCUGCCAUGGCCAGCGUGGACGGGCGUGGGUGUGUCCAGGCCCUGGCCCUCCCCACUCUGCCCCGGAGUUGACCCUCUCCGGAAGGCUUCUGGAAGCACAGCUGAGUGGCAUGGGUAUCCCAGGCUCCCCGGCUGGCUACUGCAAGGUCCUCUCAGGACCCUGCCCCUGGCCACUGGGGUACACAGCCUCUCAGCCUGCCUCUGUCCCAGUUAGACCUCAGAGACACAGAGGCCAGAAAUACUUCUUUUUAUUAAAACACGGAU
rnacentral:lncRNA from 10 species